CAGACAAAACCACUCUCACUCUUUUUCUUCCCCUCGGCUGCUACUCCUCUCUCUUCCAACACGGAGAUUCACCAUCGCUCCAUCACCAGAUUCAUCACACACCUUUUCUUCUUCUUUCUUUGAAUCAACUAAUUAAAACCAAGCACCCAUGGAAGAUUCAUUAUAAUGAUUCAUUGUUUUCUAAUUGAUUUUGUAUAGUGUAGUUGUAGCAAGAUCAUUUUAUGGGUUUCUAUUGAGUUUUUGAAGUGGAUUAAAGGUUAACUGUUUUUGAUUUUGUGUUUUGGUUAGAAGGUAUAUGAAGGAAUCAAUAAUUAUAGCAGCUGAACCAGAUGCAGUGUUCAAAUCGGAUGUUAAUGGUUGAAAAAACAAGAGAAAGAUGAACAGGAGGAAGUUAGUGGGAAGAAAUGGAAGUAGUUCAAUGAGAGUCAUCUGAUUACGACAAUACAGGUUGAAGUUGGAAUGGUGUAUGACAUUGAUAUGGAUGUUUCUGCUGUUAUGGAUAAUGGGAGUAACGAGAUUUAUGUCUCUAAGGUAAAAGCAUUAGCAUCAAAAAUUUCCAAUCAAUCUAUGUAGGACUUUUGUUGUUUCCAGAUUCUUUUAUCAUUAGAAGAUGAAUUUUUUUUCUUAUGUGUUGACAGUGUAUCCAUUGAUACAAUAAUAAAACUAUGGGAUGUAGAAUUUGGAAGCCUUCUCAGAAGUUUGAAUGGUCACAUGUAUGAACCAGCAAAACAUUUAUUUCUUUGAGGCCAUAUUUGUGGUAGUAGUGAUCACUGUUGUAGCUUGUAGCUAAAGAUGGUUCUGAAGAUUUGCAUUUUUAUUAAAUUUUUCCCAACCAUGUUCAUUUGUUUUUGUUUUAGAAAAUAAAAGUUAGAUUUGUUUAA